AUGCCGCCGAAGAAGUACACCAUGCCGCGCGCGACGGCAAACGCGACUAGCGCCGUGAUCCAGCCGAAGCAGAGGAAGCCGAGGGCGCCGCCAUCGAAGCCGCCGGGCAUGUCGAACGCGGAGUGGAGGGUGGAAGUCCAGCGGCGCGAAGCAGUCACCGCCGACAGGCGGAACAGAGCCAUCGCCAAGAAGGCCCGCGACAACGCGACGCGCUUGGCGGCGUCUUCCUCAUCGGUUGACCAGGCGGGGAUGAAUCCACCCGUCGUCAACCACACCCAGUACGCGCCCUGGGGACAGCAAGGCGCCGGAUCUCCAUGGGGUUCAUCGUCGCCCGGCUACGCCGACGGCGACGCGCACGGUGGGUUCAACCCGAACGUGACCUUUCCUCAUGGCCACCCCGCUGCGCGCACGCCCUCGCCCGCCUUCGUCGGCAUGCAGUACCCUCCAUACAACUACUCGCCGCCCGCCUCCUACGCGUCCACGCCAACACCCCAUCUCUACCGUGGACCUCUGCCCUUCUCGCACCUCGGCGACGCCGACGACACGGGGGCCGACAUGGAUGACAUCAUCGCGACAGGAUCGACCGCGGUCGCCGCCUCUCCCGGGUUCGCCACCCAGGAUGAGGUAGUGGAUCUCAGUGGCGACAUGGAGGCCGAGCUCGGCUACGUCUACGGCGAGGACGCGCAGGAACCCGAGGAGGAGGAGGAGGAGGAGGAGGAGGAGGAUGAGCCGGCUCCUGUUCCGGCGAAGGGGCUCCAGAAGAAGAAGCGGGCGGCCAGGUCAGGCGAACCGCGCAUCAAGUGA
rnacentral:rRNA from 1 species